rnacentral:lncRNA from 1 species
CGACUUUGUCAAGUGCCUGUUAAUUUUUAUGUAGGAAUCACUCAGUGUGUGACAUGGAAAUAUUACCUUGUCAUUGGCUUUCCCUUCUGGAGGGGGAGUGCGAUAUUGAGAGGGUAAGGAUGUGCCUGGGAGAGGGAGGAGAGGGCGGGGGGGAGCAGCGGGGAGCGGGACAGGGAUGUCCUGCGUGGGGGAUGAGCCCGUGGGGGAGGGGGGCCCAGGAGUGGAAUCCAUCAGCCCUGCCAGCCUCCUGCCUCUGUCCCAGGCGCGGGGAGGUGACACAUUUUCCUAAUAAGAAGGCAUUAUCAUCUCACAGCCUCCCCAGAGAUUCUUGGCAUGUUUCAUUUUGCUUGAAUAAAUUAUUAAUUUGGUCUAAUUAGGCUCCUCCAGCAGCUGGGAGGCAGGCUGAGCUAAUCUGGGAUUCCUGUGUGUGGCCGCAUGCGUGCGUGGCGCUGUGGAGAUGGACAUUGGGCCCCCGUGGGAGAGGGAGAAGGGUGGAGGCAGGCAGAGGGUAGCAGAGCGGGAGGGAAAUUUGGCUCCAACUGCAGCCAAGUGCUGCCAUCUCUUCGCAGGCACCUGUUGGCUGAGAGGCGGCUGCUAAGCGUCCUCCAGCUACCCCUGAAGACUCGCUGUUCCUGUCGCAUUUGCUGUGAAACCAGCUCGCUUCUCUGCAACUUCGGAGGAACAAUGGAGAGAGAGAAGAAGAGAGACAAAGAGACCAUCCCCAGCUCUGGGUCAGGCCAAAGCCAGGAGCCAGGAGCUCCAUCUGGGUCUCCCACAUGGGUGAGUCCAAGCAUUUGGGCCCUCUUCUCCUCCUUUCCCAGGAGCACUAGCAGGGAGCUGGAUUGGAAAUAGAGCAACCGAGACUCGAACUGGUGCUCCAGACUGGCGUCACAAAUAGUGAUUUAACCCUCUGUGCCCCAACACCGGCCUCAAACUUUGUGUAUUUUUUUAAUGAUUUACUUAUUUAUUUGAAAGGCAGAGUUACAGAGAGGCAGAGGCAGGGAGAGGGAGGGGGUGGGAGGGAGGGAGGGAGGGAGGGAGGGAGAGAGGGAGGGAGGGAGAGAGAGAGAGAGGUCUUCCAUCUGCUGGUUCACUUCCCAAUUGGCCGCAAUGCCAGAGCUGGUCUGGUCUGAAGCCAGGAGCCAG